rnacentral:lncRNA from 1 species
AACUGAAGAAUGAAUUGAAGGUGAGAGAUGAGGCUUCACCACCUCACCCAGGACCCAGGAGGUCUGAGGAACAUGCUGAGAUGGAGGAAAUCCUGCACCUUGCCUCAGGAGAGGAGAGGUAAUGAAGAGGAAACAACCAUCAGCACCAUCAGGCAGCUGCUGCUCUAACCCUUCAUUAUGAAACAUGUACUUCAUCAUCAAACUGCGGAGCGUCUUCAUGGUGACUUACACCUCAUAUUUAGCAUGUGUAGGCUAAUGUUUAGCAUUUAGCACGUCCUUAGAUUGUCACAGUCCAGGUUCUGAGUGAGUUCAGUGUGGAUCAGAGGGUGGUCAGUCAGUUAUACAGGACCACCACAGUUUGAUCCCUUUGUAGUUUUAUGAAUCAAAGUACUUCUGUCAUGAUCCAGUGCUUUGGUCCU